UGCCGCAGUACCCUAACUGUGCAAAGGUAGCGUAAUUCUUGUUCUCUUAAUUAGAGAUCUGUUCAAAGAAUGAUAUGUAGAAAAUCUAUUGAUCUUAUAGUACGUUUAAUUUGAAUUAUGAGUGAAAAUUCUCAUUCCUUUGUAAAAGACGAGAAGACCCUAUAAAACUUAAUUAAUUUAAAUGGGGACUUUAGAGUAUUAUAAUAGACCUUUGUAUUAAUUAUUUGUGAAGCUACUUUAGGGAUAACAGGGUAAUAUAUUAGGAGAGUCCUUAUCGAUUAAUGUGCCUACUACCUCGAUGUUGGAUUAUUCCCUCUUAUGUAUUGUAGCAGUAUAUAAAGUUAGACUGUUCGUCUAUUGAAGGAUUACGUGAUCUGAGUUC
rnacentral:rRNA from 1 species